rnacentral:rRNA from 1 species
UACGUAGGGUGCAAGCGUUGUCCGGAAUUAUUGGGCGUAAAGAGCUCGUAGGCGGUUUGUCGCGUCUGCUGUGAAAACCCGAGGCUCAACCUCGGGCCUGCAGUGGGUACGGGCAAACUAGAGUGCGGUAGGGGAGAAUGGAAUUCCUGGUGUAGCGGUGGAAUGCGCAGAUAUCAGGAGGAACACCGAUGGCGAAGGCAGCUCGCUGGGACGGUACUGACGCUGAGGCGCGAAAGCGUGGGGAGCAAACAGG